AGCGUAGACGGCAAGGCAAGUCUGAUGUGAAAACCCAGGGCUUAACCCCUGGGACUGCAUUGGAAACUGUCUGGCUCGAGUGCCGGAGAGGUAAGCGGAAUUCCUAGUGUAGCGGUGAAAUGCGUAGGUAUUAGGAAGAACACCAGUGGCGAAGGCGGCUUACUGGACGGUAACUGACGUUGAGGCUCGAAAGCGUGGGGAGCAAAACA
rnacentral:rRNA from 1 species